GACGAACGCUGGCGGCGUGCCUAAUACAUGCAAGUAGAACGCUGAAGGAGGAGCUUGCUUCUCUGGAUGAGUUGCGAACGGGUGAGUAACGCGUAGGUAACCUGCCUGGUAGCGGGGGAUAACUAUUGGAAACGAUAGCUAAUACCGCAUAAGAGUAGAUGUUGCAUGACAUUUGCUUAAAAGGUGCAAUUGCAUCACUACCAGAUGGACCUGCGUUGUAUUAGCUAGUUGGUGAGGUAACGGCUCACCAAGGCAACGAUACAUAGCCGACCUGAGAGGGUGAUCGGCCACACUGAGACUGAGACACGGCCCAGACUCCUACGGGAGGCAGCAGUAGGGAAUCUUCGGCAAGGGACGGAAGUCUGACCGAGCAACGCCGCGUGAGUGAAGAAGGUUUUCGGAUCGUAAAGCUCUGUUGUAAGAGAAGAACGCGUGUGAGAGUGGAAAGUUCACACUGUGACGGUAUCUGACCAGAAAGGGACGGCUAACUACGUG
rnacentral:rRNA from 1 species